rnacentral:rRNA from 1 species
AUUGAACGCUGGCGGCAUGCCUUACACAUGCAAGUCGAACGGCAGCACGGGGCAACCUGGUGGCGAGUGGCGAACGGGUGAGUAAUGCAUCGGAACGUACCUUUCAGUGGGGGAUAACGUAGCGAAAGUUACGCUAAUACCGCAUAUUCUGUGAGCAGGAAAGCAGGGGAUCGCAAGACCUUGCGCUGAUUGAGAGGCAGAUGUCAGAUUAGCUAGUUGGUGGGGUAAAGGCUCACCAAGGCGACGAUCUGUAGCGGGUCUGAGAGGAUGAUCCGCCACACUGGAACUGAGACACGGUCCAGACUCCUACGGGAGGCAGCAGUGGGGAAUUUUGGACAAUGGGGGCAACCCUGAUCCAGCCACGCCGCGUGAGUGAAGAAGGCCUUCGGGUUGUAAAGCUCUUUCGGCCGGGAAGAAAUCGCACGGGCUAAUACCCUGUGUGGAUGACGGUACCGGAAUAAGAAGCACCGGCUAACUACGUGCCAGCCGCCGCCGUAACAC